rnacentral:rRNA from 1 species
CAGUCGCCGCGGUAAAACGAAGGAGGCUAGCGUUGUUCGGAUUUACUGGGCGUAAAGCGCACGUAGGCGGACUUUUAAGUCAGGGGUGAAAUCCCGGGGCUCAACCCCGGAACUGCCUUUGAUACUGGAAGUCUUGAGCAUGGUAGAGGUGAGUGGAAUUCCGAGUGUAGAGGUGAAAUUCGUAGAUAUUGGGAAGAACACCGGUGGCGAAGGCGGCGACCUGGUCCUUGACUGACGCUGAGGCGCGAAAGCGUGGGGAGCAAACAGGAUUAGAUACCCCGGUAGUCCCUGUCUCUUAUAA